rnacentral:rRNA from 1 species
UACGUAGGGUGCAAGCGUUAAUCGGAAUUACUGGGCGUAAAGCGUGCGCAGGCGGUUAUGUAAGACAGGUGUGAAAUCCCCGGGCUCAACCUGGGAACUGCAUCUGUGACUGCAUAGCUAGAGUACGGUAGAGGGGGAUGGAAUUCCGCGUGUAGCAGUGAAAUGCGUAGAUAUGCGGAGGAACACCGAUGGCGAAGGCAAUCCCCUGGACCUGUACUGACGCUCAUGCACGAAAGCGUGAGGAGCAAACAGG